UUUCACAAAGGCGGCAAGCCGGACGCUCUCCUAAAAUAGUACCCGAAACCAAAAAUGCAUGCCUCGCCCUGAAUCCAAUCUUCUUCCAAUACCCAUGUAUCACUUUUUGCAAGUUUCUUUGGCACAGGAUUGUCGCUGGUAUUCUGGCACGAGGCUUAAAAAUCCAUAAUUUUUCUUCAAUGAUCCAUUGUUGGGUGGAUUUGGUUACUAACUCCUAAUUUGCGUUGUUUUAAUCAGUCCGUUGUGAGAAUAGCUCGUGAUUACUGCAUUUAUACUUUUGAACAAUUCCUACAUAAGCCGUAUUUGGUGCACGUACUUGUACCUUGACUCUUAGGAAACUACGCACUGAACAACAAAAUUUACUUUCCGUCACAAAUAAAUAUAUUGUUUAACAUGGUGUGAAUCAAAUUAUAACUUUGAUUACGUUUUUCUUUUUAUGCGUUAUUUUCAACUUCUCAUUAACGCAAACCACCACAUAAUAAUUUUGUCAACUUGAGGGUUCGUGGGAACCAUAAUGAAAUGAUGUAUAACUCUAAAAUCAGAGAAAACGUUCCUACAAUUAAUCAAAAUAAAUCGAAACAAACGGCUAAUGUAGGAAUCCAAAAUCCGAAAAUUAGUUAGUUAGUGUCUAGGUUUUGAUCGUACUUUUCGCCGUUUGUAGAUGUCGAUUGUCGAUGUUCGAUAUCAUUAAGAACCUGAUAAGUUAUAAGAAGUAUAUAAAAAUAAUUACAAAAAAUAUUUACAAAAUAAAUAGCCGGUAAAAACAAUAUUUGCCUGAUUAUACUAAGCUGAAAUAUAAUCAACGCACAGAAUAAUAAUAACAUUAUUAUAAUUCCCCAUGUUGCGAGCAAUUGUUUCCAUAAACAACCUGUUUUGUUAUUAUUUCAUCUCAGAUGAUUAAUAUAACAUUAAUGCUAAUAAAUAAUGUGGACAUGUUAAUGCUCUUUACAGUCUUUGACGCUGCCUCCGUAUUUCAUGUCACUGCAAUAUUAAUCACACAUGUUUCAGUUUAAACUUCCAAAGUUUAAAUAGAACAUCAACCCUUCCCAUUCUCAGGACCUCUGGCAAAUCCUCAUUUGUGUGAAUAUACUCGUUUCCAUAAAUACAGAAAGAACGCAUAAUUGAUGUAGGUAACUAGCAAAAAACAUUUUUAAUUACUGUGGGGAUCUUUCGUCAUUCCCCGAUUAUUCAGUAUAAAGUAAACCAGCGGAAACCUAUGGGAAGAAAAAUCCGAAGUGCUGACAUUGAUAUACGAGUGGCUA
rnacentral:lncRNA from 1 species